rnacentral:tRNA from 1 species
GCGCCGAUGGUGUAAUGGUUAGCAUUAAUGCCUUCCAAGCUUCAAAGCGAGUAAGCAUUAGAUUCGGGUUCAAUUCCCGAUCGGCGCA